AUGUUCUAUAAUGGACUUGCUGUAAAGGGAACCCUUCUUGUUGUUAGAAAGCUUCCUGAAAGGACUAUCCAUAGACGACCAUCAAUGAUAAAAGUAAACUCAGAUCCUAGUUUAUCAGAUGGGCACUCCUUCAACUCACUGGAAAUUGUUUCAACGAGCAACCGACCCAAAAGGGCAUUGACUUCAAGGUUUUUAAUCACGCUGCUUCAAUAUGGAGGGGUUCCAGCGGAUUAUUUUAUGGAGCUUCUCGGGAAGGCACUAAAAGAUGUUGAGAAAGCUCGCCAUAAAACUAGAGAUUCCCUUGAAGUUGCAUUUAACCACGGUGACAUGGAUGAUUUAAUGUCUGCACGGAUGAUCCUUUCUGGAAUUCGACCAGAAGAUGAGGCAUACUUACAGCACCAGCUUACUACAAUGACCAAAGAGGAAAGAGAAGGAUUCAAACAAGGCAGGCUCCCUGUUGAUCAGUGUUAUUAUCUGAUGGGCACAACAGACCCUACAGGGACACUAAAGCCCCAUGAAGUCUGUGUGAUAUUGGACCAUGGCCCCAUUUCUGGAGAGGUUCUUGUCUAUAGACAUCCUGGGCUGCAUUUUGGUGAUAUACAUGUCUUGACAGCCACAUAUAGUGAGGCUAUACAGGAUUUCGUGGGAGACUCCAAAUUUGCUAUUCUUUUUCCUGUUUCUGGACCACGAUCUCUAGCUAAUGAGAUGGCAGGUGGUGAUUUUGAUGGUGACAUGUACUGGGUCUCGAGAAACCCACAGGUUGGUCAUUGUUUCUGA
rnacentral:rRNA from 1 species